GCAUAUCAAUAAGCGGAGGAAAAGAAACCAACAGGGAUUGCCCCAGUAACGGCGAGUGAAGCGGCAAGAGCUCAAAUUUGAAAGCUGGCCCCCUCGGGGUCCGCAUUGUAAUUUGCAGAGGAUGCUUCGGGAGCGGCCCCCAUCUAAGUGCCCUGGAACGGGCCGUCAUAGAGGGUGAGAAUCCCGUAUGGGAUGGGGUGCCCGCGCCCGUGUGAAGCUCCUUCGACGAGUCGAGUUGUUUGGGAAUGCAGCUCUAAAUGGGUGGUAAAUUUCAUCUAAAGCUAAAUAUUGGCCGGAGACCGAUAGCGCACAAGUAGAGUGAUCGAAAGAUGAAAAGCACUUUGAAAAGAGAGUUAAACAGCACGUGAAAUUGUUGAAAGGGAAGCGCUUGCGACCAGACUCGCCCGCGGGGUUCAGCCGGCAUUCGUGCCGGUGUACUUCUCCGCGGGCGGGCCAGCGUCGGUUUGGGCGGCCGGUCAAAGGCCCCUGGAAUGUAACGCCUCUCGGGGCGUCUUAUAGCCAGGGGUGCCAUGCGGCCUGCCCGGACCGAGGAACGCGCUUCGGCUCGGACGCUGGCAUAAUGGUCGUAAGCGACCCGUCUUGAAACACGGACCAAGGAGUCUAACAUCUACGCGAGUGUUCGGGUGUCAAACCCGUGCGCGCAGUGAAAGCGAACGGAGGUGGGAACCCUUUGGGUGCACCAUCGACCGAUCCUGAUGUCUUCGGAUGGAUUUGAGUAAGAGCGUAGCUGUUGGGACCCGAAAGAUGGUGAACUAUGCCUGAAUAGGGCGAAGCCAGAGGAAACUCUGGUGGAGGCUCGCAGCGGUUCUGACGUGCAAAUCGAUCGUCAAAUUUGGGUAUAGGGGGCGAAAGACUAAUCGAACCAUCUAGUAGCUGGUUCUG
rnacentral:rRNA from 1 species